GUGGGGAAUAUUGGACAAUGGGCGAAAGCCUGAUCCAGCCAUGCCGCGUGUGUGAAGAAGGUCUUCGGAUUGUAAAGCACUUUAAGUUGGGAGGAAGGGCAGUAAGUUAAUACCUUGCUGUUUUGACGUUACCGACAGAAUAAGCACCGGCUAACUUCGUGCCAGCAGCCGCGGUAAUACGAAGGGUGCAAGCGUUAAUCGGAAUUACUGGGCGUAAAGCGCGCGUAGGUGGUUUUGUAAGUUGGAGGUGAAAUCCCCGGGCUCAACCUGGGAACUGCCUCCAAAACUGCAUGACUAGAGUACGGUAGAGGGUAGUGGAAUUUCCUGUGUAGCGGUGAAAUGCGUAGAUAUAGGAAGGAACACCAGUGGCGAAGGCGACUACCUGGACUGAUACUAACACUGAGGUGCGAAAGCGUGGGGAGCAAACAGGAUUAGAAACCCGUGUAGUCC
rnacentral:rRNA from 1 species